UACGUAGGGGGCAAGCGUUGUCCGGAUUUAUUGGGCGUAAAGAGCGUGUAGGCGGCCAGACAGGUCCGUUGUGAAAACUCGAGGCUCAACCUCGAGAUGUCGAUGGAAACCGUCUGGCUAGAGUCCGGAAGAGGAAAGUGGAAUUCCUGGUGUAGCGGUGAAAUGCGCAGAUAUCAGGAAGAACACCCGUGGCGAAGGCGGCUUUCUGGGACGGUACUGACGCUGAGACGCGAAAGCGUGGGGAGCGAACAGG
rnacentral:rRNA from 1 species